rnacentral:rRNA from 1 species
AUUGAACGCUGGCGGCAGGCCUAACACAUGCAAGUCGAGCGGAUGAAGGGAGCUUGCUCCUGGAUUCAGCGGCGGACGGGUGAGUAAUGCCUAGGAAUCUGCCUGGUAGUGGGGGAUAACGUCCGGAAACGGGCGCUAAUACCGCAUACGUCCUGAGGGAGAAAGGGGGGGAUCUUCGGACCUCACGCUAUCAGAUGAGCCUAGGUCGGAUUAGCUAGUUGGUGGGGUAAAGGCCUACCAAGGCGACGAUCCGUAACUGGGCUGAGAGGAUGAUCAGUCACACUGGAACUGAGACACGGUCCAGACUCCUACGGGAGGCAGCAGUGGGGAAUAGUGGACAAUGGGCGAAAGCCUGAUCCAGCCAUGCCGCGUGUGUGAAGAAGGUCUUCGGAUUGUAAAGCACUUUAAGUUGGGAGGAAGGGCAGUAAGUUAAUACCUUGCUGUUUUGACGUUACCAACAGAAUAAGCACCGGCUAACUUCGUG